CCGCACCGCCCGCCUCCGCACCCGCCUCGCCCGCGCGCUGCGACCACCACUCCUUCCGCCGCUGCCAGCACUACAAUUCAGCCGGCUCACUAAGAAGAACCAUGUCUUACGUGAUGAAAGAGCCGAAGGAGCCAGUGAAAAAACACGUGCAAAUAGUGGCAUAGUGCGUCUUUGUCCCUUCGGUGGUGAUAGAGCGGGACAAAGUUUAGACAAUCGUAGGCAUAGUUGAAUUUUAGACGAGGAUGUAUAUGAAUGUUUAGAUACGCUGUACACAGCACACCAAAAUGUGGCCACAUAUGUUGUCAGGAAAAUAUUUGUAGGUAUAUGUUUUCAAAGAGCGAAUAAGUUAUUGUUAAUGUUGCUAAAUUAAAAUAUAAAGACACAAAUGAAAACUGUUAUUAAAUUUCCAGAUUGUGCUUCCAUAUACUGUUUCUGUACAUUAAAUGGCUGUCACGAGGUUUGUGAGGAGCAUAUCUAAACAUUUUGUCUAUGGUUUUAGGAUCCCUCCGGUCUUCGGACGUAUGGAAUAAGGAAUGGUGUAGAGUUAAAAAACGUGCCAAGAUUUUGAGUGGUGUUAUCAGAUUAAUAGGAGUAUUUUGGGUUUUAUAAGAUGUCACGACUUCAUUGCCAUUUGGAUUUGAUCAGAAAACAUUGGGAAACGGACAAGUUUCUCAAUGUUUCAAAAGACAAGUGGACAACUAGUCCUGUUGACAAGUUUUACCACUCGAAAUCCUGAGGAAGUUGUUUUGGGAAACGAGUCCCAAUAAAUAACGUGUUCACAAAAGUGAUGUACCAACUACCUUCUCAUAUUCUUACUAAAUAAUUAAACUCCAAUAAUGAAUACAAAAAGUUUGGAUGUUUGAUUAUCAAAUCGAGUUGCAAAAAUGUCAGAGUUUGUACAUCACUAUGCACUAAGGUACAACACUACUGCCAGUAAAACUAUGGGUAACUGUUUUAUGCAUGAAAGAAUCUUAGUAGUUAUACGUCCCUUUUAUACGACUUUGACUUUGAAUUUCCAUGUUUUUAUUAUUCUUCUCCCUUUACUGUGAAAACCGGCUCUAGACAUUGAAUUUUUAUACUGAAAUAAAUAUUUGAUUAUCGACUCGACUGGUUUGCAAAUAAAAUGACAGUAACAGUAUAUAAUAUUGUGCUGUCAUCAAUCGUUAAGACAUGUACGGCCUAAAUAUAAUAAAGAUCAAGAAAACAGAAAAUAAUAGCAAUAAAAUAAAUCCUUCUUAUGUUAUUAUAGCUUGUUACAUUACAAUAAGGAUCAAAACAAUAUUUUCGCUUAGGGAUAUAAUACGAUUGUUCAUACAGCUGAUAAAUUAUGGUGUUUACACAGAGUUUCGGAUGUGAUCUCACCAUUUGGUCGUUAUAAACGGUACGCCGUUGUAACCGAUGUUGUUAUAGCCGGUUUCUACUGUAUUUUAUUUGGGACCUGUUAUCUAAGUCAAAAUGUUACUCAAAGUCAACAAGUAAGUACGAUUGUAAAUUAUUAAUUAGACAAACCGCUAGAUUUAUACUCACACCGCGUAGACAAUUUGUAAUGUUUUAUACUAAUACUAGGUAUGGGGUGGAGCCAAGAGUCAUCGGGGUGAGAACAAGAUGGACGCGUCAUGUGCUGAUGCAGUAAAUCAGUGAUCAUGUCAUUUAAUUCAAUAGUGUUUAUUGAUUUUAAUGUCAAAGUUUGGACACCGAAAAAAAUGCUGGCAGUUAGCAUUUUUGGCUUAGUAGAUGAUCUCUUAAAUGCGGGUAAACUUAAGCAAUAUAUUGAUAUUCCUUUAAUUAUGUAGCCCAGAGGGCUAAAGAGGUGUUAGUUGUUUUUUGUUGUUAUAAAAUUCCAAUAUAAAAAUAUGUUUCCAAUUUUUUAUAGUAAAUGUUUGGUCAUGUCUUGGCUCUACCUACGAUUUAAAUGUAAAUUAGGAUUUAAUGAAAUGAGGCUUGUUUCGUAUUUUACAUUUGCUGUGAAAACAGAGUCUUAAGGGUAUUAAUUGAAUUCGUAAGAGGCCUCAUCUCAUGCCCGUGGGUAAGCUGUAAUGAUGUUUUUUAUUUCACUGUAAAUGAAUCAAAGUAUGUUGUUAAGUGUUGAAUUAAAAUUUAUUUAUUUAUUACCUUGUUCAAAAUGUGCUCAGCGGAAAUAAUAAUACACAUGGAUAAUGAAAAAACAUAUGAUCAUAUAUAUAAAAGUUAUAUAGUACAAGCUGUAAUGAGGCCCAUUUUAAAAUUUAAGUCUUUUGAAAAGUUUUGUAGCGAGUUCAUACCAGGGAUAACUAAAUUGUUAUUUGGAUACUAUUGAUCUCCGUAUCACAAUAAAUUUCUAGGUAAAAAUAGAUUUAAUAACCCAAAUAACGGUUUCUACUUGACAACUGUCAAAACCGACGCCUCUCCGAGGAGCGGAGGGAAUAAGCAUUGUACAGGGCUGAUCACUGUCCAAGAUGUGGCCCCUACACAUUCUGAAAUGGGCUUAACGUACUCAAGUGUGAUUCUAAUACUUGGUUACCUAAUUGUAUGUUUUCAUUUGUUAUUAUUGGUAAUUACCUAUCUUAACCUAGGUCAAAAUUUUGUAAGUUUGUAAUAAUUUUAGUGUAUUAUUGAGUUGUGACUGUAUAUACCAGAGUAAUAAAAUAAUGUGUUAAUUUA